GCCCCCAUAGCCCAAUUGGCAGACGGCAGUCGACUUAAAAUCGACACAGUCUGGGUUCGAUUCCCAGGUCGGGGCA
rnacentral:tRNA from 1 species